rnacentral:rRNA from 1 species
CUACGGGCCGCACCAGUAGGGAAUAUUGCACAAUGGGGGGAACCCUGAUGCAGCAACGCCGCGUGGAGGAUGACGCAUUUCGGUGUGUAAACUCCUUUUAUAUGUCAAGAAAAUGACGGUAGCAUAUGAAUAAGCACCGGCUAACUCCGUGCCAGCAGCCGCGGUAAUACGGAGGGUGCAAGCGUUACUCGGAAUCACUGGGCGUAAAGGACGCGUAGGCGGGUUGGAAAGUCAGGUGUGAAAUCCUACAGCUUAACUGUAGAACUGCACUUGAAACUUCUAAUCUAGAGUAUGGGAGGGGGAGAUGGAAUUAGUGGUGUAGGGGUAAAAUCCGUAGAUAUUACUAGGAAUACCUAAAGCGAAGGCGAUCUCCUGGAACAUUACUGACGCUAAGGCGUGAAAGCGUGGGGAGCAAACAGGAUUAGAUACCCCCGUAGUC